rnacentral:rRNA from 1 species
UACGUAGGGUGCAAGCGUUGUCCGGAAUUACUGGGCGUAAAGGGCUCGUAGGCGGCCGACUAAGUCCGACGUGAAAUCCCAAAGCUUAACUUUGGAACUGCGUCGGAUACUGGAUGGCUUGAAUUCGGGAGAGGGAUGCAGAAUUCCAGGUGUAGCGGUGAAAUGCGUAGAUAUCUGGAGGAAUACCGGUGGCGAAGGCGGCAUCCUGGACCGACAUUGACGCUGAGGAGCGAAAGCUAGGGGAGCAAACGGG